CAUAAAUUGAGAGAGAAAGAAGAAAAAACCUCUAUUAUUCAAACACAAAAAAUUCAGAAAUUAGGAAGAAAUUGAUGAUCAAUCUUGUGCAUGAACCUCAUCUCUUAACCAUCUAAGCUUGAUAAUCACAAGGUGUGAAAGACGAAGAUCCAAGCGACAAGAAAUCACAAAGCUCACACGAUCGAGGAAAAUCCUCUUGUUAGGUUAUGUGUAGUGGGGCGGUAUGCCCAACCAUAGCGCCGGCAUAGCGCCGGGCACACCGCCACGGAGGGCGCCAUCAGUCGGAAAAAUGGGGGAGGCGCGAUGUGUAUAGCGGCGCGAGAUGGUGGUAACACAAGACGGGAACCGGACGUACGGUCAAGCACGAGAACAAACGAACACUAUUAACAUGCUAUCUCCUUCGAGACGUUCACGGAAAGGAUGAAGCAUGAUCAUGCAUGAUAGAUCUUUCGAGUUUAAAACCUUAUUAUUUUCGUUUGUAAUUUACUGUGCAAUAACUCAUUAUGUGGUUCGUCUGGGUUGUCCGUCAACCCAGACUUGUUUGAUAUUCUUUAUAAAAAAAAAAA